rnacentral:misc_RNA from 1 species
GAUGAAGAACGCAGCGAAAUGCGAUACUUGGUGUGAAUUGCAGAAUCCCGUGAACCAUCGAGUCUUUGAACGCAAGUUGCGCCCGAAGCCACUAGGCCGAGGGCACGCCUGCCUGGGCGUCACACGCCGUUGCCCCCCCAUCUACUCCUUCGGGAUUGCGGGGGGGCGGAUGAUGGCCUCCCGUGCGCCUAGCCGCGCGGUUGGCAUAAAUACCAAGUCCUCGGCGACGCACGCCACGACAAUCGGUGGUUGCGAAACCUCGGUUGCCCGUCGUGUGCGUUCGUCGCGCAUCGAGGGCUCGAAAAAAUGCUCGGCUCCGGCUGGGCUUUCAACGCGACCCCAGGUCAGGCGGGGUUACCCGCUGAAUUUAAGCAUCUCAAUAAGCGGAGGA